GGGGAGAUAGCGAAGAGGCUAAACGCGACGGACUGUAAAUCCGUUCCUUAGGGUUCAGUGGUUCGAAUCCACUUCUCCCCACCA
rnacentral:tRNA from 3 species